rnacentral:rRNA from 1 species
GCAAGUCGAGCGAGAAAGCCCUUCGGGGUGAGUAGAGCGGCGGACGGGUGAGUAACGCGUAGGAAUCUACCCAGUAGUGGGGGACAACUAGUGGAAACGCUAGCUAAUACCGCAUACGCCCUACGGGGGAAAGCGGGGGACCUUCGGGCCUCGUGCUAUUGGAUGAGCCUGCGUAAGAUUAGCUUGUUGGUGAGGUAAUGGCUCACCAAGGCGACGAUCUUUAGCUGGUCUGAGAGGAUAAUCAGCCACACCGGGACUGAGACACGGCCCGGACUCCUACGGGAGGCAGCAGUCGGGAAUAUUGCGCAAUGGGCGAAAGCCUGACGCAGCCAUGCCGCGUGUGUGAAGAAGGCCCUAGGGUUGUAAAGCACUUUCAAUUGGGAGGAAAAGCUAAUGGUUAAUAACCAUUAGCCCUGACGUUACCUUUAGAAGAAGCACCGGCUAACUCCGUGCCAGCAGCCGCGGUAAUACGGAGGGUGCAAGCGUUAAUCGGAAUUACUGGGCGUAAAGCGCGCGUAGGCGGUAUUUUAAGUCGGAUGUGAAAGCCCCGGGCUCAACCUGGGAACUGCAUCCGAUACUGGAAGAC